rfam:Brassica rapa chromosome A3, whole genome shotgun sequence.
GUGAGGGUGAUGAACAAAAUUAAUCGGAUGUCCCAAUGAUAAAAGAAAAUAUGAUUAAUAACCAGCUACUUUUGACUCAU